UAUCCAGCGGCUCAGAGGCGCUCUGACUCCAUUCACUCCAGAGUCCUACACAGCCAAGGACCUGUGCAGACUGCUGCAAGACAGGCUGUGGAUAGCACGACACGGACAACUUUCUCCUUUGUGAUUUUCUGUGAGGAUCUUCUUCGUUUGGAUUAUUUUCUUGUAGGACUAUUAAAUACUAUCAUAGAAAAACAGUCUAAUUCUAACAUAUAUUAAGACAUAUCAGAAGACUUGGUUGAAGUUUGAAGCCUAUUUGUUAGAGGGUGAAGGACAAGUGCAAUGCGCGUCGGACUUGUCUCUUGGGAUUGUCCCACUUGCGCCUGAGGAGCUAUGUCGAACUGCCACACAGAGCUUGUUUAAGAGGACGCAGUCCAAUGUGAAUAACUAGAAUCAACUUCCAGCCUCUUCAGCUUUUUUCAGCAGUUACAAGCAAGUGCAGCACGGAGUCUGACAGAGCCCGCUGAGCAGCUCUGACACCACGGUUUCUCUCCCCGAGGGGAUGGUUGUGGAUCCUGUGGGGCCAGGAGCGAUUCUGCGGCUCCUACAGAAUAACACAUUUUUCUUGUACGGGGUUAAAUCUAAAUUAAAGGGAGAUGAGAGCCGCACUUUGUUACUUCCUGCUGUGGACGACGUACCUGCUGCUGGCCACCUCUGAGGAAGUGGAGUUUCCCCAGGAGCUGAUAGACAGACUGUCCCACAGUGAAAUCCACAGCAUCAGCGACCUCCAGCGGCUACUGGACAUUGACUCCGUAGGUACGGGAAACGAUGUUAUCGAGGAGCCCAAGCACCACAAGCACCAUAAUCACCAUAAGAACUACUCCCGUCAUCCUGGUUACUACAAUGACCUGAAGAGCUCCCAGCUCCACAGCCGACGCAAGAGGAGCAUCGUAGAGGAGGCGGUCCCGGCGGUGUGUAAGACGCGGACGGUGAUCUACGAGAUCCCCAGGAGCCAGGUGGAUCCCACGUCUGCCAACUUCCUGAUAUGGCCGCCCUGUGUGGAGGUGAAGCGCUGCACAGGCUGUUGCAACACAAGCAACAUGCGCUGUCACCCUUCCCGCAAGCACCAUCGCACCGUUAAGGUGGCAAAGGUGGAGUACGUGAGGAGGAAACCCAAGCUGAAAGAGGUCUUUGUGCGGUUAGAAGACCACCUGGAGUGUGUGUGCACAUCACAACAUCAUGUGGUGGAGCACUCAGAUGCAGAAACAGGCCACCGUAGGGCUAAAGGUAAAAAAAGGAAACCUAAAAAGCUAAGGCCCAGCAAGGAUUUAUUGGCAACAUAAUAAAGUUGCACUCAUUAUCCAAAAUCCACUGGAGAGCUGUGAAGGGAACAGUGGACGUGAGGUGAGACCAAUCAGAACAAGGGACUUCAGCGUGGGAGGGGCCUAAAUAGAGGAUGCCACCAACAGGAGACCUGCUUUGUCCUCUUCCCCACUGCCAUGCAACCUUGCUAAAAAAAAACUUUUCUUUAAAGAUGAGAGACUGACAAAAUAGACAACAGACACAAAUAAAUAAGAUGCCAAAGGUUUUCCCUAAAAACAGUAACCAGUGAUGAUGACUUCCUCUGUGGUACGCCACCUACCCAGACAACUGAACUCCGCCGCUGAUUAAGAAGAGAAGAGAAGGAUGCCGUAGAGCUGCAGGAAGAGUUCGAAGGGAGAUUAUGAAAGGGAUUUGUGCUUGACAGUCUGAUCAAGACGCACAACAGAAAUGGCUGUGAAACAGGCGGAUCAAGCUUUCAUGGGAAUCUGGUGCUCAGGCUCCAAAACAGCGGUGGAUGACCUUAAAUGACUCUAACAUACACAGGAAGGAAGAAAGAGAGAUAUAGGAAAAACAAUGGAAAGAGAGAAAGAGAGAGACAAAUGGAGGUUGUUUUUUUUAAAAGACUCUAUGGAGUUUCCAACAUUUUGAGUUGUUGGAUGUUUUCUCUGAGUAAAGAGGAAAUCUUCUGUGAGAACCCCUGGUGGUCUGUGACUUUGCCCACUUGCUAUGUACAGUUAAAUUUGAGAAGGAAGAUGCGCCGCUACUUACAAACUAUUUAUAUGUGUGGACGUUUGCUUUCUGUCUCUUCCAGUACAAAAGAAAGAAAGAACAAAAAAGAUGUUUUAAUGAUUUUGGAGUUCUGUGUGGUCAGGUUCUUUGUAACCAUCACAAUCUCAAUGUCAUUUUUUUAGUUGAUGUUAUUCUUGUCAUCCAUGUUUCUUAUUAUAUUACAGUAUAUCUGAAUGAUGUCAUGUCUUGUAUAUGGUUUGGAUAUAUGUGUGCAAGGAGGAGAUGUGAGAGUCAGUACAGGAAGAUGCUUUAUUUUUGUUAUGAAAUAUAUUAAGCUUACUUAUAUCCAA